UACAGAGGUGGCAAGCGUUGUUCGGAAUUACUGGGCGUAAAGGGCGCGUAGGCGGCCCGUCAAGUCCCGUGUGAAAGCCCCCGGCUCAACCGGGGAACUGCACGGGAAACUAGCAGGCUUGAGUUCGGGAGAGGGAAGCGGAAUUCCAGGUGUAGCGGUGAAAUGCGUAGAUAUCUGGAGGAACACCGGUGGCGAAGGCGGCUUUCUGGACAAAUACCGACGCUGAGGCACGAAAGCUAGGGGAGCAAACAGG
rnacentral:rRNA from 1 species